rnacentral:rRNA from 1 species
AGUGGACGCAUCACUGGUGUUCGGGUUGUCAUGCCAAUGGCACUGCCCGGUAGCUAAAUGCGGAAGAGAUAAGUGCUGAAAGCAUCUAAGCACGAAACUUGCCCCGAGAUGAGUUCUCCCUGAGACUUUAAGUCUCCUGAAGGAACGUUGAAGACGACGACGUUGAUAGGUCGGGUGUGUAAGCGCAGCGAUGCGUUGAGCUAACCGAUACUAAUGAACCGUGAGGCUUAACCUUAC